AUGAUCCCCAAACCCCGCCCUAGCUCCGCGCCCGACCACCGGUUCGACGGCUCCCUUGCUGGUCCGGUGCGGCGGCGAAGCUCUACCGCAGUAUUUCUGGAUGGCAACAAAGCAUUUGUCAACCUUGCUGCUAAUUGUACUACCACCACUUACGAUUGCUUUACUAGUGUUGCUAUGGUUUUUGCCCGCCCUUCGGAAGAGAGGAGUGUCCUCAUUUCCACAAUGGAAUGUUGUGUCCAAGAUGUUUUGUUUUUGUGCCCAUCACAAGAGAAGAGAAAGUGGAUAAAGUUCCAUGCAACGAUGAGAAGAAGCUGA
rnacentral:rRNA from 1 species